CGUUAAUCAAACGUCGGUGAAGAAAUAAAAGGCCGUGCGUUGCAGUCUACGUAGAAGAAAAGUGCCUUUACGAAACACCACCAUCUAUGGCUGAGUCACCUGUCGAAGUUCAUUGCCGACGUGUCAUAACUAGAAGCUACUCUCAAAUCUCCAAGUGCGGUUCUAGUGAUUAGGCACCGCCCCGGUACGUUUCAUGGGUGACACACCCGUCAGAAAUGAUGUAAUAGUUUAGUUCGCACGCUAAUACUAAUUAAUUAGCCGAAAAAAAAAACAAAGACAAUAAAAAAAAACAAGCAGUAGGAACACGUGCGCGGAUCGGGGAAGUGGACGACAACCAGAGCGAGAGCAUCCGAGGGCCAAGGAAGGUGACGGCCACAGCCUUCGUCUACUGUUCUUCCGUAACUUUGAUGACGUCGGUGCCUCGGUCCCCAACCUUGCAGUCGGUGGCGGGAGGACGUUCGCCCUAGCGACCCGCUCUGUCCAACGGCGGCUGCGACAGCAGGGGAGGGUCUCGGUAGCCGAUGCAUGUUUGGCCUCGGCGUCCCGGAACUCCUCGUCGUCGCGGCGCUCGUCUCCGGGCCGGAGUAGUUUCCCCUGAUCGGAUGGAGCAUCCUAUAGGUUCUGCGAACAGAUGGAAUUAAAUGUCGGUGACCUGUUUUCCAUUAUGCAAACCGAUAAGAAAUUUACAAACGAAGGGACUGAAGUAUGUGAUGGUGGAAUUGGAGGCCAAGUUCCUCGUCGAUGCAAUCUUGCUAGAGAUGUCAUUCUGUAGUAUCAAAUGGUUGUAUUCAGUUUAUUCUAGCUAUUCCUGAAUCACAUAACAUCC